CUUUAGUGACUGCACUUCAGCUGCUCUGUAACCAGAGAAUAGAGCACACAGCACUUUGGAAAUGAAUUGAAACUGCAUAGAAUAGGAGAAGAAAAUCGGAUCUGAGUCCUGCUGAAGUCUUGGGCUCCUUCAAGAAUUGGGGAGGCAACGCAAAACCCCAAGACAGUGGUUUUCAGUACAUGAACUGAAGCUUCUGGCUGCUGCAGAAGAGUUUUCCUCUAUGUCUCUCAUGAAACUUCCAUAAAGCAUUUGCAAUGCCUUGACGUUCUGCCAUCCGAGGGGGAAUUAAUCGCCGGGAUGGCAUGAAGAGCACAGCACAGAAAGCAGGCAUGGUCCAGACCUCAAGGGACUAAUUAUGUUCUUAAAGGGUAAGAAAGUAGUCUUAGGUACAUUGGGAAGUGUCUGAG
rnacentral:lncRNA from 1 species